UACGGAGGAUGCGAGCGUUAUCCGGAUUUAUUGGGUUUAAAGGGUGCGUAGGCGGGCUGUUAAGUCAGCGGUCAAAUGUCGGGGCUCAACCCCAUCCAGCCGUUGAAACUGUCAGACUUGAGUUGGCGAGAAGUACGCGGAAUGCGCGGUGUAGCGGUGAAAUGCAUAGAUAUCGCGCAGAACUCCGAUUGCGAAGGCAGCAUACCGGCGCUCAACUGACGCUGAGGCACGAAAGCGUGGGUAUCGAACAGG
rnacentral:rRNA from 1 species